rnacentral:rRNA from 1 species
AGCGAACGCUGGCGGCAGGCUUAACACAUGCAAGUCGAGCGGGCGUAGCAAUACGUCAGCGGCAGACGGGUGAGUAACGCGUGGGAACAUACCUUUUGGUUCGGAACAACACAGGGAAACUUGUGCUAAUACCGGAUAAGCCCUUACGGGGAAAGAUUUAUCGCCGAAAGAUUGGCCCGCGUCUGAUUAGCUAGUUGGUGAGGUAACGGCUCACCAAGGCGACGAUCAGUAGCNGGUCUGAGAGGAUGAUCAGCCACAUUGGGACUGAGACACGGCCCAAACUCCUACGGGAGGCAGCAGGUGGGGAAUAUUGGGCAAUGGGCGCAAGCCUGAUCCAGCCAUGCCGCGUG